GCCUUCGUGGUGUAGUGGUCAGCACGCUCGACGCGUAUUCCAGAGGUCCGGUGUUCGAAUCCCGGCGAGGGCA
rnacentral:tRNA from 1 species